rnacentral:rRNA from 1 species
UACGUAGGGUGCAAGCGUUGUCCGGAAUUAUUGGGCGUAAAGAGCUCGUAGGCGGUUUGUCGCGUCUGCUGUGAAAACGCGAGGCUCAACCUCGCGCCUGCAGUGGGUACGGGCAGACUAGAGUGUGGUAGGGGAGAUUGGAAUUCCUGGUGUAGCGGUGAAAUGCGUAGAUAUCGAGAGGAACACCUGCGGCGAAGGCGGGUAGCUGGGCCGACACUGACGCUGAGGCGCGAAAGCUAGGGGAGCGAACAGG